GACGAACGCUGGCGGCGUGCCUAAUACAUGCAAGUAGGACGCACAGUUUAUACCGUAGCUUGCUACACCAUAGACUGUGAGUUGCGAACGGGUGAGUAACGCGUAGGUAACCUACCUAUUAGAGGGGGAUAACUAUUGGAAACGAUAGCUAAUACCGCAUAACAGUAUGUAACACAUGUUAGAUGCUUGAAAGAUGCAAUUGCAUCGCUAGUAGGUGGACCUGCGUUGUAUUAGCUAGUAGGUAGGGUAAUGGCCUACCUAGGCAACGAUACAUAGCCGACCUGAGAGGGUGAUCGGCCACACUGGGACUGAGACACGGCCCAGACUCCUACGGGAGGCAGCAGUAGGGAAUCUUCGGCAAUGGGGGGAACCCUGACCGAGCAACGCCGCGUGAGUGAAGAAGGUUUUCGGAUCGUAAAGCUCUGUUGUUAAGGAAGAACGAGUGUGAGAAUGGAAAGUUCAUGCUGUGACGGUACUUAACCAGAAAGGGACGGCUAACUACGUGCCAGCAGCCGCGGUAAUACGUAGGUCCCGAGCGUUGUCCGGAUUUAUUGGGCUUAAAGCGAGCGCAGGCGGUUAGAAAAGUCUGAAGCGAAAGGCAGUGGCUCAACCAUUGUAGGCUUUGGAAACUGUUUAACUUGAGUGCAGAAGGGGAGAGUGGAAUUCCAUGUGUAGCGGUGAAAUGCGUAGAUAUAUGGAGGAACACCGGUGGCGAAAGCGGCUCUCUGGUCUGUAACUGACGCUGAGGCUCGAAAGCGUGGGGAGCGAACAGG
rnacentral:rRNA from 1 species